rnacentral:rRNA from 1 species
UACGUAGGAUGCAAGCGUUGUCCGGAAUUAUUGGGCGUAAAGAGCGCGCAGGCGGUAUGACAAGUCAGAUGUGAAAGAGGCCGGCUUAACCGGCAAGGGUCAUUUGAAACUGUCAGACUAGAGUGCAGCAGAGGAUAGUGGAAUUCCCGGUGUAGUGGUGAAAUGCGUAGAUAUCGGGAGGAACACCAGUGGCGAAGGCGACAUACUGGGUCAUGACUGACGCUGAGGCUCGAAAGCGUGGGGAGCAAACAGG